rnacentral:rRNA from 1 species
AACUGCUUUUAUGUGGGGAUAAAGUGAGCUACGUGUAGUUUAUUGCAGGUACCACAUGAAUAAGGACCGGCUAAUUCCGUGCCAGCAGCCGCGGUAAUACGGAAGGUCCAGGCGUUAUCCGGAUUUAUUGGGUUUAAAGGGAGCGUAGGCCGUGGAUUAAGCGUGUUGUGAAAUGUAGACGCUCAACGUCUGAAUUGCAGCGCGAACUGGUUCACUUGAGUAUGCGCAACGUAGGCGGAAUUCGUCGUGUAGCGGUGAAAUGCUUAGAUAUGACGAAGAACUCCGAUUGCGAAGGCAGCUUACGGGAGCACAACUGACGCUGAAGCUCGAAGGUGCGGGUAUCAAACAGGAUUAGAUACCCUGGUAGUCC